CGUUUACGCUGCAAAUGCUUGCUGUUUAUGUGCAGUGCUCUAGCGCAAGUGUAUCGCAUAUGACCAUUUAUCUUUCAGUCGGCAUUGGGUAAACCCCGCUUUAGUGUUCUGGAAGCUGUUGGUUUUUUUUUUUCUUUCUAGGAUGGCAAAGGCAUGACAUAGUCGUCCAAUUUUCAUGAGGAAUACUUGCACAAUUCUGCAGGUGUCUCAGCCAUCUGUGGAAAAUCUGCACCUCAUCUGUGGCUACUAUUUAUUUCAUUAGGAGUAUUUACUGCCUGAAGUUAAGCAGCAAAAAUACCUGGAUAAAGAGGGACUGGUUUUUAACCAGUUCCUCGACAUCGUGACAGUCAGUGAUGGCAAGGCUGAUACCAUUGUCACUGCUGUGAAAGCUGUCCUGCAGAACAAGCAGGUACCAACAGAGAAACUCUGUUGGCUUGGCACUGAUGGGGCAGCUGUUAUGGCGGGGCGUGUAAAUGGGGUCGCUAAGCAGCUGACCGACAGCUUCCCCAUGAUCGUUGCCGUGGCCUGUGCCGCCCACCGCCUUGCCCUGGCCUGGCCUGUAAGGACGCAUCAAAUGAUGUGAAAUACAAGGCGACCUUCCGGGACCACCUGCAGGAACUACACUUGUUCUUCCAUCACAGUGCAAACCAGACAGCAGCACUGAAGGCAGCGGCUAGCACCCUGGGACUGUCUGACUUGAAGAUGAAGGAGGUAAAAGACACAAGGUGGCUAUCUCAGCACCUGGCCAUUGAGAUACUCCCAAGGAAUCUCACAGCUGUGCUUGUCACAUUGGCAGAGGAGGCAGAGCUUAAACGAUGUCCAAUCGCCAAGGGCCUGUAUACCUUUUGUGCGACCUACAGGUUCCCAUAACAAUUGAGACCCUCAGACGCAUCAAGCAUGCAGGUGAGACUCUGCUCCCUGGGUCCUUCCUGUCCCAUCUCCACCAAGAUCUUGAUGAGCCCCUUGCACUCGGAGCCUUCACGAUCCAUCAUGAGGAGGAGAGGAACAGGAGAGGACAGGGUGUUAAGGACCUGCCACGGGAGGAGCACUGGACAAAAUUUGUGAGAGAGGUAAAUGUUUUAGGGUUUUUUCCCCCCCAGAUUAGAAGUGUGUUGGGUCUUAGAUUGAAGGUGCUCUUUGGUUUGUGGUUCCAUAGUUUCAAACAGCAAAAGAGAAUCCAAGGCACUUUUCCAGUGAACUAAAAUGCCUUCAUUUAAAUCGCAUGUUAAAACCAGAUUUCGGCCAGCAUGCCUUCAUAAGGGAGUAGUAAAUACAAUGCCAAACUCUAACUCGCAUCGGAGUCUGGUGUUAAACUUGUUAAUUUGAACAUGCCUUUUUCAAUGAAGGCAUUUUAAAUCCUUGGAAGAGUGCCUUAGAUUGACUGCUGUUUGAAGAAUUUGGGGGUUUUACUUUUCUUUUCUGCUAAUUUUAGGUUGCCAGUCCUUACAUCAGUGGCCUGAUACACCACCUAGAAAGGAGAUUCCAGAAUCUUAAUAUCAUUAAUAGCUUCUCUGCACUGCCUCCCUGUAAAAUGUAGAAUAGAAUUUAAAAUCCUCCUCCUCACCUAUAAAGCUCUUCAGGCCCCUUCAUAUCUUAAAGAGCUCAUAGUACCCUAUUACCCCUCUAGAACACUACGUUCUCUGAAUGCUGAGCUACUUGUGGUUCCUAUAGUCUCUAAAAGUAGAACAGGAGCCAGAGCCUUCAGUUACCAAGCUCCUCUCCUGUGGAACCAGCUUCCAGUUGUGGUUCGGGAGGCAGACACCAUCUCCACAUUCAACAGUAGGCUUAAGACAUUCCUCUUUGAUAAAGCUUAUAGUUAGGGCUGGAUCAGGUGAGUCCUGAACCAUCCCUUAGUUAUGCUGCUAUAGGCCUAGACUAUCGGGGGAUUUCCUAUGGUGCACUGAGCUCCUCUCUUCCUCUCUCUUUCUGCACUCAUUCAUGUCCCAUUAAUGCAUGUUACUAACUUCACUUCUUCCCCGGAGUUCUUGUGCUUUUUCGUCUCGCAGGUUCUUAUCGAUCCUGGUGGAGCCUCCUGCCAUGGUCCUGCUAGAUUGCCAUUGCCAAUACUGUUGUUGCUGUGCACCUGUCUGUCUGUCUGUCUGUCUGUCUCUCUUUCUCUCUCUCACCCCAACUGGUCGAGACAGACGACCACCCACCUAGAGCCGAAGGAUCUGUCCUAGGUUUCUGCCUUUUAACAGGCAGUUUUUCCUUGCCCUUGUCGCCAAGUGCUUGCUCAUGGUGGUACUGUUGGGUCUCUGUAAAUAAUGUUUUAAAGAGUUCGGUCUAGACCUACUCUAUUUGAAAAGUGUCCUGAGAUAACUUCUGUUAAGAAUUGGCGCUACACAAAUAAAAUUGAAUUGAAUUGAAUUGGGGCCUUCAGCGUUUUGGGACCACAGGCAGCUGCCCUAGCUGAUGAAGAGAAAAACACCCACCUUCAUACCCUGGCAAAAAGGUUUCUUCCUGGAAAGGAGACCUUGAUAUUCCAGGAGUGGCAGUCCUUCAAAGAGCACAUGUGUGGAGGAGGGGCAUUCAAGGUGGAUUAAUGAUACUGAUAUAUUGCACAGCGAUCCUCAACAUAAACAUUAUAUCUCAUUUUAUGUAUUAAUUUAUCUUUUUGUCAGAAUUUGUCAUUCAGAGCAGGAUCAAAAGUUUUGAUAGCCUACAAAUCCCCAAAUCUACCUAAUGCUUAUCACUAAACUGAACCUAAUACACUUAGCUUUAUACUUACCUGUCAUACUUAACCCUGUAAAGAGAAAUCCAAGCAAAUCCCAGUACUCUGUCUCAAAUUUCUUUAUAUUUGGUCUUUUAAGAGUUUAAAGUCUUAAAAAUUAUUCAAUUUAACCUGCAGACGCACCUUGAUUAAUUUAAAAAAGGUAAAUUAACAUCGUUUUAACAUUAUUUCCCUAGGACGAGAACCAGGCCGAAAUAAUGACCCUGCUAGCCAGUGAGUGCAAUGAAUGGGGACAGAUAUACCCAUUACUCAGCCGUUUGGCAGCAAUUGCACUUGUCAUUCCGGUGUCAAGUGUCAACUGUGAGAGAGACUUCUCCACAAUGAACAGGGUCAAAUCAGACCUUCGUAACAGGCUGCAAGGAGAGCAACUGCCUGCCUGCCUGAGGGUCUCCAUCAAUGGGCUGAGUCAAGAGGCAUUUAAUUACCAAAGGGCAUUAGAACUGUUUUUCUCAAAGACCAGGACUAUUAAAUGUCCAAAUUCGGGGUGCAAAGUUUGCAAAUAGGGAUGUAGGGAUUAAUUAUUUAUUAUUUUAUUUUCUAAAAAAUAAACUAGUUCAACACAGGUAA